UACGUAGGGUGCGAGCGUUGUCCGGAAUUACUGGGCGUAAAGAGCUCGUAGGUGGUUUGUCGCGUUGUCCGUGAAAACUCACAACUCAAUUGUGGGCGUGCGGGCGAUACGGGCAGACUGGAGUACUGCAGGGGAGACUGGAAUUCCUGGUGUAGCGGUGGAAUGCGCAGAUAUCAGGAGGAACACCCGUGGCGAAAGCGGCUCUCUGGGACGGUACUGACGCUGAGACGCGAAAGCGUGGGGAGCAAACAGG
rnacentral:rRNA from 1 species